CCUACGGGAGGCAGCAGUGAGGAAUAUUGGUCAAUGGGCGAGAGCCUGAACCAGCCAAGUCGCGUGAAGGAUGACGGCCCUACGGGUUGUAAACUUCUUUUGUAAGGGAGCACUUGGGUCCACGCGUGGGCUUAGCGAGUGUACCUGAAGAAAAAGCAUCGGCUAACUCAGUGCCAGCAGCCGCGGUAAUACGGAGGAUGCGUGCGUUAUCCGGAUUUAUUGGGUUAAAAGGGUGCGUAGGCGGAAUAUCAAGUCAGCGGGAAAAAUUCGGGGCUCAACCCCGUCGUGCCGUUGAAACUGAUGUUCUGGAGUGGGCGAGAAGUAUGCGGAAUGCGUGGUGUAGCGGUGAAAUGCAUAGAUAUCACGCAGAACUCCGAUUGCGAAGGCAGCAUACCGGCGCCCAACUGACGCUGAAGCACGAAAGCGUGGGUAUCGAACAGGAUUAGAUACCCCAGUAGUC
rnacentral:rRNA from 1 species